GGAUGAGCCCGCGGCCUAUCAGCUUGUUGGUGAGGUUAUGGCUCACCAAGGCGACGACGGGUAGCCGGCCUGAGAGGGUGUCCGGCCACACUGGGACUGAGAUACGGCCCAGACUCCUACGGGAGGCAGCAGUGGGGAAUAUUGCACAAUGGGCGCAAGCCUGAUGCAGCGACGCCGCGUGAGGGAUGACGGCCUUCGGGUUGUAAACCUCUUUCAGUAGGGACGAAGCGAAAGUGACGGUACCUGCAGAAGAAGGACCGGCCAACUACGUGACAGCAGCCGCGGCCG
rnacentral:rRNA from 1 species